rnacentral:rRNA from 1 species
GGGGGGCGGGGUGCUAUACUGCAAGUCGAACGAGUUCUCGUUGAUGAUCGGUGCUUGCACCGAGAUUCAACAUGGAACGAGUGGCGGACGGGUGAGUAACACGUGGGUAACCUGCCCUUAAGUGGGGGAUAACAUUUGGAAACAGAUGCUAAUACCGCAUAGAUCCAAGAACCGCAUGGUUCUUGGCUGAAAGAUGGCGUAAGCUAUCGCUUUUGGAUGGACCCGCGGCGUAUUAGCUAGUUGGUGAGGUAAUGGCUCACCAAGGCGAUGAUACGUAGCCGAACUGAGAGGUUGAUCGGCCACAUUGGGACUGAGACACGGCCCAAACUCCUACGGGAGGCAGCAGUAGGGAAUCUUCCACAAUGGACGCAAGUCUGAUGGAGCAACGCCGCGUGAGUGAAGAAGGCUUUCGGGUCGUAAAACUCUGUUGUUGGAGAAGAAUGGUCGGCAGAGUAACUGUUGUCGGCGUGACGGUAUCCAACCAGAAAGCCACGGCUAACUACGUGCCAGCAGCCGCGGUAAUACGUAGGUGGCAAGCGUUAUCCGGAUUUAUUGGGCGUAAAGCGAGCGCAGGCGGUUUUUUAAGUCUGAUGUGAAAGCCCUCGGCUUAACCGAGGAAGCGCAUCGGAAACUGGGAAACUUGAGUGCAGAAGAGGACAGUGGAACUCCAUGUGUAGCGGUGAAAUGCGUAGAUAUAUGGAAGAACACCAGUGGCGAAGGCGGCUGUCUGGUCUGUAACUGACGCUGAGGCUCGAAAGCAUGGGUAGCGAACAGGAUUAGAUACCCUGGUAGUCCAUGCCGUAAACGAUGAAUGCUAGGUGUUGGAGGGUUUCCGCCCUUCAGUGCCGCAGCUAACGCAUUAAGCAUUCCGCCUGGGGAGUACGACCGCAAGGUUGAAACUCAAAGGAAUUGACGGGGGCCCGCACAAGCGGUGGAGCAUGUGGUUUAA